AACGAACGCUGGCGGCAUGCCUAACACAUGCAAGUCGAACGAGACCUUCGGGUCUAGUGGCGCACGGGUGCGUAACGCGUGGGAACCUGCCCUUAGGUUCGGAAUAACUCCCCGAAAGGGGUGCUAAUACCGGAUAAUGUCUUCGGACCAAAGAUUUAUCGCCUUUGGAUGGGCCCGCGUUGGAUUAGCUAGUUGGUAGGGUAAAAGCCUACCAAGGCGACGAUCCAUAGCUGGCCUGAGAGGAUGAUCAGCCACACUGGGACUGAGACACGGCCCAGACUCCUACGGGAGGCAGCAGUGGGGAAUAUUGGACAAUGGGCGAAGGCCUGAUCCAGCAAUGCCGCGUGAGUGAUGAAGGCCUUAGGGUUGUAAAGCUCUUUUACCCGGGAUGAUAAUGACAGUACCGGGAGAAUAAGCGCCGGCUAACUCCGUG
rnacentral:rRNA from 1 species